rnacentral:lncRNA from 1 species
AUGUCUCGCCCAGCUAAGGACUCAAAACCGUCAAUUGAAGAGCUGAAAAAGGAACUGACGAACUCAAUGAACUUGGAGAGACGGCUCACGUGUCAAAUCGAAGAAGACAAAAAGGAAUUCCAGAAAAAGCUAAGAGGUCUAAAGAAAACACAAGCACAAAAUAACAAACUUCUUCAGGAUGUCCAGGAAAGGGAUGCAACUAUUGAAGGGCUACAGAAAGAUCUGGUGGAGAUCAGGUCUGCAUUACUUAAAAAGGAGAAAGAGAAUGAGACCUUGAGGAAAUAUCUUGAAAGUCACUUGGCAGAACUGUCAGUUGUUAAGCAGCGAUACAGCAUUGAAAAAGAAAAGGCGAUGAAGACAGAAGGGCUGCAAAACACAAUAUACAUGAUGGAAGCUGAAAAUGAAGAAUUGAAAUGUGAAAUAAAUGAUUUCCAAGUAUUCAAGGAUGAGGCUCAAACCCGUCAAAAUGAACUGCGGAUGCAACUGUCAGAAGCAGAGGAGAAGAUUAUCUGUAGAGACAGAGUAUUAGAAUGUGCAAAAGAAGAAAACGACGUACAAGGGCUCAAGAUCACUUCUCUGAAAAUUCAGAACAACAGGUUAGAGCGUGCAUUGAAAAGACACGAGAAACAUGAUCUUAUAGUCAGAAAACUGGAAUGCACUAUUAGAAAGAAGGAUGAAGAUAUAAAGUCUGUGCAAAAGGAGCUGAAAAAGAAUGAAUCAGAGCUUAAUAAACUGAGGAGUUCUUUUACACUCAAGGUCCACCAAAAUAAAAGCCUCCAGGAAGAUCUGCACACUACAAGGAAGACGUUAGAUGAGAAGUGCCAAGAAACCAGAAGACUGAGUCUUGUCAUUGAAGAGCUGGAAACACAAAAUGCCAAAAUAGUUAAACAGUAUGACGCACUCAAAUCGAAAGAAACACUAAAGGAAAAAGGAGCUCAAGACAAAGACACAUUGAUAAGAGACUUAAAGUUUCUUGUUACCAAACUAGAAAGCGAGCUUAGCCAGCAGAUAGUGAAGACUGAAAAGGUCGACAAAGCUAAAGACGGCGUCAAAGCUAACCUGGUAAUUCUUCAGUCAGAACUCAAAACUCUUCAGUCAGAACACAAAACUCUUCAGUCAGAACACAACAAAGCUAAUGUGGCUAAAGAUAAACUGAAUAAACAGCUCAGACUCUUAGACAGUGCCAACAAACGUUUAAGUUCUCAACUGGAGCAAAACAAGAAAGCACAUGAAAACACAGUGCAUGAACUGCAGAGAGUGAAGCAGUGCUUGCAGCAGAAUGAGCAAAAGCUUUCAGAGGAGAAACAGUUGGCCGCUUCUUAUCUGAGUGGCAAGGAGGCAGCAGAGCAAGCCCUUGCCAAAGCAGAUGAUGAGAAGGAAAAGUUGAGCAGAGUCAUAGAGAGAUUCAAGCAGCGGAAGAAGGCUAGCCAGAAAGAUGUG